UACGGGGGGGGCAAGCGUUGUUCGGAAUUACUGGGCGUAAAGGGCUCGUAGGCGGCCAACUAAGUCAGACGUGAAAUCCCCAGGCUCAACCUGGGAACUGCGUCUGAUACUGGAUGGCUUGAAUCCGGGAGAGGGAUGCAGAAUUCCAGGUGUAGCGGUGAAGUGCGUAGAUAUCUGGAGGAAUACCGGUGGCGAAGGCGGCAUCCUGGACCGGCAUUGACGCUGAGGAGCGAAAGCCAGGGGAGCAAACGGG
rnacentral:rRNA from 1 species